rnacentral:rRNA from 1 species
UACGGGGGGGGCAAGCGUUGUUCGGAAUUACUGGGCGUAAAGGGCUCGUAGGCGGCCAACUAAGUCGGAUGUGAAAUCCCCAGGCUUAACCUGGGAACUGCAUCCGAUACUGGAUGGCUUGAAUCCGGGAGAGGGAUGCAGAAUUCCAGGUGUAGCGGUGAAAUGCGUAGAUAUCUGGAGGAAUACCGGUGGCGAAGGCGGCAUCCUGGACCGGCAUUGACGCUGAGUGAGCGAAAGCGUGGGGAGCGAUCCGG